rnacentral:misc_RNA from 1 species
GAUGAAGAACGUAGCGAAAUGCGAUACGUAAUGUGAAUUGCAAAUUCAGUGAAUCAUCGAGUCUUUGAACGCACAUUGCGCCCCCUGGUAUUCCGGGGGGCAUGCCUGUCCGAGCGUCAUUGCUGCCCUCAAGCACGGCUUGUGUGUUGGGCCCCGUCCUCCGAUCCCGGGGGACGGGCCCGAAAGGCAGCGGCGGCACCGCGUCCGGUCCUCGAGCGUAUGUGGCUUUGUCACCCGCUCUGUAGGCCCGGCCGGCGCUUGCCGAUCAACCCAAAUUUUUAUCCAGGUUGACCUCGGAUCAGGUAGGGAUACCCGCUGAACUUAAGCAUAUCAAUAAGCGGAGGA